UACGUAGGUGGCAAGCGUUAUCCGGAAUUAUUGGGCGUAAAGGGUGCGUAGGCGGCCAUUUAAGUCUAAGGUGAAAGUUCGAAGCUCAACUUCGGAUUGCCUUAGAAACUGGGUGGCUAGAGUGCAGGAGAGGGCAAUGGAAUUCCAUGUGUAGCGGUAAAAUGCGUAGAUAUAUGGAGGAACACCAGUGGCGAAGGCGGUUGCCUGGCCUGUAACUGACGCUGAAGCACGAAAGCGUGGGGAGCAAAUAGG
rnacentral:rRNA from 1 species